rnacentral:rRNA from 1 species
CCCUUAGAUGUCCUGGGCCGCACGCGUGCUACACUGAUGCAUACAGCGAGUACUCCCAGCUCCGAGAGGCUGCUGGUAGUCAGCAAUAUGCAUCGUGAUGGGGAUAGAUCUUUGGAAUUAUAGAUCUUGAACGAGGAAUUCCUAGUAAUCGCAGGUCAUCACCCUGCGUUGACUAAGUCCCUGCCCUUUGUACACACCGCCCGUCGCUCCUACCGAUUUCGAGUGAUCCGGUGAAUCAUUCGGACCGCGGCCCCUAGGCAUGCGGAAAGUCUAGUAAACCAUAUCACUUAGAGGAAGGAGAAGUCGUAACA